GUCCAAUCCGAAUGAUUGAACCCACGUAGGUGUGGGGAAGCUGUAGGACGGUGCCAGGAUGGUAGUUUUCCGACUACUAUGAGCAUAAAAUUAUCCCUGAGCUAACCAGUGACGUCUGGAGCGAAUGCCCAGCACUUCUUGGAAAUAGGUGUAAGUUUCCUCAUAUGUGAGAUUUGUGGACCUCCAGUACCCAUAGAGGGGUGGUACUGGAAGGUGUGGACUUCGACCCCCAAGGGUAUCCAGAUUAAACAUUAGUUCACG